rnacentral:rRNA from 1 species
UACGAAGGGGGCUAGCGUUGUUCGGAAUUACUGGGCGUAAAGGGCGCGCAGGCGGCCCUCCAAGUCAGGCGUGAAAGCCCCGGGCUCAACCCGGGAAUAGCGCUUGAGACUGGGGGCUUGAGUUCGGGAGAGGAGAGUGGAAUUCCCAGUGUAGAGGUGAAAUUCGUAAGAUAUUGGGAAGAACACCGGUGGCGAAGGCGGCUCUCUGGACCGACACUGACGCUGAGGCGCGAAAGCGUGGGAGCAACAGGAUAGAACCCAGU